rnacentral:rRNA from 1 species
AUGACCAUGGUGGCCACGGAGGUGGUGAGGCUCAAGAAGGAGCAGAGCACCAGCGACGACAGGGUGGCCGCCAUGUGCCACCGCGUGCAGGAGACCGAGCGGAAGCCCAAGCAGAUGCUCGCGUUCCUCCUCACCAUCGUGUCCGCGUUUGGGCGAGGCUGCUACUUGAUGGCGACUUCGGCAACGUGUCCGCGUUUGGGCCGGACGCCAUCGACUUCGCGGGGUUCUACACCGACGAUGCAUUCACCAAUGCGCCGGUGCCGGUGGAGGCGGCCGCCGGGUCGGGCGGUGGUGGCGCCGGCUGCACGUUUGCUUUUGGAGUGGAUAGUGGGU